GCAUAAAACAUGUAAGUCGAACGGGUGGAAGCCGCAAGGCUGAAGCCAGUGGCGGACGGCUGAGUAACGCGUAGGUGACUUGCCCAGAAGUGGGGAAUAACGAUUCGAAAGAAUCGCUAAUACCGCAUGAGGUUGUGCGUAUAGACACGUGCAACGAAAGCUCGCAAGGGCGCUUUUGGAGAGGCCUGCGUCCGAUUAGCUAGUUGGUGGGGUAAUGGCCUACCAAGGCUCCGAUCGGUAGCUGAUCUGAGAGGAUGAUCAGCCAGACUGGGACUGAGACACGGCCCAGACUCCUACGGGAGGCAGCAGUUAGGAAUUUUGCACAAUGGGGGAAACCCUGAUGCAGCAACGCCGCGUGGAUGAAGAAGGCCUUCGGGUCGUAAAAUCCUUUUCAACGGGAAGAAACGGACGGUACCGUUGGAAUAAGCAUCGGCUAACUACGUGCCAGCAGCCGCGGUAAUACGUAGGAUGCAAGCGUUAUCCGGAUUUACUGGGCGUAAAGAGCGCGUAGGUGGUUUCGUAAGUUGGGCGUGAAAGCCCCCGGCUUAACUGGGGAGGGUCGUCCAAAACUACGAGACUUGAGGGUGGAAGAGGAGAUUGGAAUUCCCGGUGUAGUGGUGAAAUGCGUAGAUAUCGGGAGGAACACCUGUGGUGAAGACGAAUCUCUGGGCCACUCCUGACACUGAGGCGCGAAAGCGUGGGGAGCGAACGGAAUUAGAUACUCCGGUAGUC
rnacentral:rRNA from 1 species